CGGAGGAAGCGGAAAGGGCACGGCGGGGUGCUGGGACAGAGCUGGCCCCGGGCGGUCGUUGAGGGUCCGGGGACUGUGGGUACCACUUUCUUGAAACGGAGGUGAGCUCCUUGGGCCUGACCUGACCACCUUUACCCGGUGCCUCCGAGCCCACCCUGCGUGGGAAACCGCCCUGAAGGUGGGAGCUCAAAGGGGAAGUUUGUGUUCGAGAAAAAUUUGCAGUUCUGCGGAGUGGAAUGGGGUGGGAAGAGAAACCGUGGGGAGGCCGAGAAACAGGAAAUGAGAGCGAAGGAGCAAAUUGGAGCCAGGAAAAGCCAGCUUCUACAUCUGUGUGGCAGCGUGGCAUUUGCUGAGCACUUAAGGCCCAGGUGCGCAGUUAAUGAAAACAAAGGCGGGGCACCGGCUGGCCCAGCUCUGCCCUUGCCACGUUUUGGAAAGGAAGCAAAUGGGAAAGGUGGUCCAGCCAGGAGAGUACUGUCGUGGCCCUGUCCUGGUCAGGACAGGAUGAAUCAGCGGCCGGAAUCCUCUUCUCAGUGAAACAGGAUUGACGGAGACAGUGUGUCCCCGAGUUAAGGUUUCGAAGAAGAACAAAUGAGAUAAGUGUGAAACUGUCUGAAAUGUGUGCGGCACGCUCUUCCAGAGAAGUAGCUCUAAAUGAGACAACAGUGGGAGCAGGGAGGUGUGGAACUCAGGCCCCCAGGAAGGAAAUGGGACCCAGAGGCUGAAGGGUUCACUGAUAGAAUGGGGGGAGGCGGGGUGUCUCUGUUCCAAGAAUUGGCAGCCGCAAACCUCAACCUGAUCUGAUCUUGGGAAGAAACCCCUCUCCACUCCGGUGCACCCAGACAGAAAGAACGUUGCAAACUCAAGUUUGAAAUAUUGCAGAGUAUCAGCAAAUGUGCAUUAUUUAAAGGAAAAUCCUCCACUGGAAUCACUAAAAUUUCCCCGCAGGUGGGGCUAGGAUAGGCAGGGAGUGAAUUUAACUAGGGAUGGGAGGAUGCUCUGAGAAAUUAUGUCAUCCUGGCAGUUCUUGUGCUAACAGCUUUCUCAGCUUGAGGGCCGAAGCGGAUCAUCAAUACAUGGUGAAUACUUCAAUGCGCGGGAAAACAAAAUGCCUCCUCCCUGUAGCAACAGCCAUGGGCGUGCUAGGCAAAUGAUGACGUUCGAAACUAAUCUGCAAGAAUUCAUUCCAGAGGGAGAAGGAAAUUAAGGGCAGGUCAAGGUUAAUAUCUAGAGUCUGAAUAAAGCAUGUGGUUGAAAAAGGGAAAUACAUCAAGUAUUAGGGCAAAGAAGUGCUAGCAGCAUUUUGAAAAAAAAACCGAAUACUUUUAAAUGGGGAUUAGAAAUGUUAAAAUAUGGCGACUCCCUUGCCAUAAAAGAAGUUGGUGAAAAGAAAAACACAGGUUUGGAAGGGAGAAUACUGCAAACCAGGGGAGGGAAUGGAAAAGUAAACACAAAGAAUUUUAAAGGGAUGAAUAUUAGUGAGAUUUACACGUCUGCAGUGUACAUGAUGUGUGUGUGAGUGAUAUGUGUGCGUGGGAGUGUGUGUGCAUGUCAUGUGUGUGUUUUGUGGGUGCGAGUGUGUCGUAUGUAUGUGCAUGUUGGGGGCUGGGGGCGCUAGCAUUUGUUUCUACUGGAGUUUAUCAUUCUGGCUCUGAACCAAAGUUAAACUGUGGAGAGAAGGAAGUAAGGCAAGGAAAGAUGGCCUCCCUUAGAAGGAUGAGUGUAGUUUUUUGCUGUUUAGACUUUUCUACUCCACUCCAUGUGUGUUCGGGGAUAACGGAAAAUCAGAUCGAGUAAAAAGAGGAAAGUUAUUUUUAUCGGGCAUGUAGAGUUCUAAUAAUGUAAAAGAAUAAUAAGAGAGGAAUUACUGAAUCUUAGAACUUCAGGACUGAAAGUAUUUAUGAAAUUUUAUUCAUAUUUCAAUACUAUUUAAACAUAAAUGCCUUGGGACACGGAUGUGGUUCCUGCUUACUUCUUAGUUGGACUUUAACCUGAAGAAAAACAAAUUGUCUAAAAGGAUAAAAGGUGUUAUUUUGGUCUACACAUGGCAUACACACUGAAUUAAUUUUACAUAGCAUAAUGUCCAGAAAAGAAGAGGAAGCAGAUAAUGUGACUCAAUUCCAGCUACACAGCAAAACUAGCAAGUGUUUUAUUUAAUAAUUCGAAAGCACGUUCCAACUCACAAGCCCUGCCCCCCCUUUCAGAUUUCAUACUUAACUAGUGGUAAUUUAAUGAAAAAUUAAUAUCACUGUGAGAAAUCUUUUAUGCUAUAAAAAAAGGUUUAAAUGUGCACCACACCCCAAUUCCUAUAUGGUAAAAAUUCUCUCCAAUGUGUAUUAAAAGUAGUUAAACCUUUGGAUUAAAGAGGGCAAAAUCGUAUGGGUGAUUUGACAUUAAUUCUGUGUGGAACUUGGGGAAUUGAGUCCAUUUCAGAAAUUAAGGCAUCAUAGAAAGAUUAGAAUGAACUGGAAGUGAAAAUAAAAUGAUUCGCCCAGCUCUAAAUAAAGUUUAAAACAAAAAACAAAAAACAAUGUACUCUUCCCCAGGGCUCAACACGCAGAAGAACAGAGAGAAAUUCGCUGCCUAUAUUUUUCACAUGUCAUAUUUUGGCACUAAUGUGCAGCAAAGGCGAAUUCUGUUUAAGCACGAGAAAGGCACGUUUAGAAUCUUCAGUACAAAUGGAAACAGCUGGUGAUAUUAUGUGACGCUGUACUAAACAGAAUGUUUUGAUUUGGAUGGUGAGCUGAGAAUUGGGAGGGAAACGCUAUUUGAUAAUUUUGUCACAGUCCCCACAGGUUUGGGGUUUUCUAGUUUCAAUAUCACAUAUUAGACACCCACGUUUCCAUGUCCCUCUCAAGCUUUCUUCAGACCCCUCAUCCUUUGUACCACUAACACCGGACCCUGUCUACCUUCCCAGCUCUGGACUUCUGUUUGAUCCAUCCUUCCCUUCCCUAGACAAAUCCUGGGUUAUGUUUAUAUACCUGUAUACACAAAGCCAAAUUGGAGUUGCCACAAUGGUUUCAGUGUACCACCUUAGCAUUAAAAACACUGUCUGGACUUGUCUUAUAGUCUCUCUUACAACCCAAGGAGUUUGGGCACCACCGUCCAGCCCAUUAGAGGCCAUUACCAAGUGGUUUUUUUCUUUUCUCCUAUUGAAUCCUCCCAACAAGGUUGCAUGACACCUCACAUAUAUGUGGGUAUAGCCAAUCUAGACAUCAAAAACAUUCUUUACUCCUCAGAACUUUUUGGGUGGGGGUAUAGUGCAAAGAUUAUCUCAUUCACUAGUGUGUAAGCCCCUCCCCAUGUCUGUCUGCCAUGUCUGUCUGUCUGUUUCUCUUUCUCUCUCUCCCUCUGUGUGUGUGUGUGUGUGUGUGUGCGCGCGCACGUGCACGCCCGUGUUUAGGGGAAACAGUUUUUCACUUCCUUAAGUUUGCAACCAAUGCGAGGCAUACUAGGUCAGACAGACACAAUAGCUGUUAAUUUCUUACUGUAUUCUGUUACAGGAGCAUGGCUGUUUCCACAAACUCUAGUGUUUUGUCACUAUCACAUAAAAUACAUUGAGAAUAAGACCCAUGACUUAACUCUCAACCACUAAUUUGACUUCGUUUUUACUCCUACACUGAUACGCAAAUAGUAAGUGAUUAAUGAAUGUUUGUGGAAUGGAAGAAAUUACAGCCAAUAAAAUUUUAAUUGUGUGCCUUAAAAUACAAUUUCACAGAAAGCUUCCAUUUCUGUUCAUGUGUGUACUAAAAGUAACAAGAACAACAAAGAAACUUCUGGACUGUGUUAGCAAGAACCUUUGAACAUUAAUCCUCACAGUGUUUUUCAGGUAACAUUAAGUUCAAUGUUUUUACAUUAAGAUAUACUAACGUAUCUAUUUUUACUUAAUUUUGCUGUCCCUUUCACAUUUAGUUCUUUGAAAAGCACUUACCAAAUCAUACUACUUUUCAUUCUUUUUACUAGAAUUACAUGACAUUAUUCUGUAUUAGGUAAAAGUUCAGUUUUUCAAUUCCAAAGAGAAAUUCUUAGUAAAUUUGAUUUUUUUGUAACCCUUUUCAGCCUGUUGGGUUGUAAACAUUGGAGCUCUUCUAUCCUAGAGAUAAACAUUAUUUUUAAAUAUAAUCAAUUGGGGCAUACGGUAUUGAAAGAGUCACCCUCACUUAAAAACAAUUCCGUGUAAACAAUGUACAAACAGCGGAAUUUCACACUUUAAGACUCUUCAGAAGAUAGGUAUUUUUUUCUUAACAUGACAUUUGUCAUGCGUGUAAAAUAAUGUUCGUUAUAUUGUUUUAUGGUCUGCCUGUCUAGAUACUAUUUAGCUUGAGGUACAGAAUUGCUUCCAACCUUCUUUAAGAUAGUUUCUUGUAUCCAUCUCCUGUCUCUACAAUAAUUACCAUCCAUUCUAUGUCUAUACAACUUUUAUUAAUGUUUGGAUCUUGCCUCCAAGUCUUUAUUGUCCUUUCUAAUACUAAUGUAUCUCUACAACAUCAGAAUGUUUUCCCAAAUGUUCGCAGUUACAUUUACAUAUAGGGAGCAUUUUAGCUUCUCUGGUGAAAGGGGAGAAAAUAAAGCUGGUGAAUGGUUUUCCCUGUUAUAUUGUGGAAGUUGUUUUUAAUUUUAUUCUUACUAAUUAAAUUUUGACAAUUUCACACAUUUGUAUAAUGCAGACUGGCCACCGUCACCUCCCACCUUCUGCUACCCACCCUGCUACACCUGGCUAUGCCCUGUCUUGUAAAUCUCUUCCUCUGUAAUGUCUGUUCCAGGGCCUUCCAAAUUUAAGCAGAGCCAUCUCUGUGACCAUGGGUUGGAGUUAUCCAUUAGAGUCUGAUGGGCUCAUUAGAGGGUACAAAACUGAAGACAUCUAGGCACUAUUUUAUUAGUCAAGAAUGGAGUCUCUCCCCACUUUGUUUUUCAUCCUAGCAGCCCUGGUUAGUUCUUCAUUGGAAGAAAACUACUGCCUACAGAAGGGAUGAAAAAAAGGAACGAGACAUUAGCUAAGAGCUUGGAAACGUCAACAACGUUCUCCAGCAGUAUCCUCAAGCAAGUCUUGUGUUGUUUGAAGGGAAUACAAGCGUGAUGUUUGCAGGUCUAGGAUAGUGAUGAGACCUGCUCUGAGAGUAAGAAUUUGAAUGGACACCUGUCUGACUACAGCCCCUGCAAGGUUUUUUUAUCCUAAAACUAAAAACAGUGAAUUAAGGUUCUCCCUUAAUUCCUAAAAAAAUGUUCAACAUACAGUUGAAAACUCAAAAAAAAGAUACAGAAAGAAUUCUCUGGAAAUGUCACUCUGGAGAUUGAUAGAAUGUUCAAUAUUUCUAUUAAAGUUGUUAUCUGCAUGUGUGUACAGGGCAGUGUGUCAUAUAAACCUAUUUUUAAUGAGACUAUAUGUACAGUUUUUUAUAUCCUUUUUCACUUUGCCAUGAAUCACUUUAGUGAUUUAGAGAACGUUCCAAAUCAAUGAAUAAAGAUAAAUACUUUUAAGGGCCUA
rnacentral:sRNA from 1 species